rnacentral:rRNA from 1 species
CACAUGCAGUCGACGAUGAUCCGGUGCUUGCACCGGGGAUUAGUGGCGAACGGGUGAGUAACACGUGAGUAACCUGCCCUUGACUCUGGGAUAAGCCUGGGAAACCGGGUCUAAUACCGGAUACGACCUUUCACCGCAUGGUGGUUGGUGGAAAGAUUUUUUGGUUUUGGAUGGACUCGCGGCCUAUCAGCUUGUUGGUGAGGUAAUGGCUCACCAAGGCGACGACGGGUAGCCGGCCUGAGAGGGUGACCGGCCACACUGGGACUGAGACACGGCCCAGACUCCUACGGGAGGCAGCAGUGGGGAAUAUUGCACAAUGGGCGAAAGCCUGAUGCAGCGACGCCGCGUGAGGGAUGACGGCCUUCGGGUUGUAAACCUCUUUCAGCAGGGAAGAAGCGAAAGUGACGGUACCUGCAGAAGAAGCGCCGGCUAACUACGUGCCAGCAGCCGCGGUAAUACGUAGGGCGCAAGCGUUGUCCGGAAUUAUUGGGCGUAAAGAGCUCGUAGGCGGUUUGUCGCGUCUGCUGUGAAAGCCCGGGGCUCAACCCCGGGUCUGCAGUGGGUACGGGCAGACUAGAGUGCAGUAGGGGAGACUGGAAUUCCUGGUGUAGCGGUGAAAUGCGCAGAUAUCAGGAGGAACACCGAUGGCGAAGGCAGGUCUCUGGGCUGUAACUGACGCUGAGGAGCGAAAGCAUGGGGAGCGAACAGGAUUAGAUACCCUGGUAGUCCAUGCCGUAAACGUUGGGCACUAGGUGUGGGGGACAUUCCACGUUUUCCGCGCCGUAGCUAACGCAUUAAGUGCCCCGCCUGGGGAGUACGGCCG